rnacentral:rRNA from 1 species
CCUACGGGUGGCAGCAGUGAGGAAUAUUGGUCAAUGGGCGCGAGCCUGAACCAGCCAAGUAGCGUGAAGGAUGACUGCCCUACGGGUUGUACACUUCUUUUAUAAAGGAAUAAAGUGAGGCACGUGUGCCUUUUUGUAUGUACUUUAUGAAUAAGGAUCGGCUAACUCCGUGCCAGCAGCCGCGGUAAUACGGAGGAUCCGAGCGUUAGCCGGAUUUAUUGGGUUUAAAGGGAGCGUAGAUGGGUUGUUAAGUCAGUUGUGAAAGUUUGCGGCUCAACCGUAAAAUUGCAAUUGAUACUGGCAGGCUUGAGUAGAGUUGAGGUAGGCGGAAUUCGUGGUGGAGCGGUGAAAUGCUUAGAUAUCACGAAGAACUCCGAGUGCGAAGGCAGCUUACUAAACUGCCACUGACAUUGAUGCUCGAAAGUGUGGGUAUCAAACAGGAUUAGAUACCCUUGUAGGC